GAGACCUUGGCUCAAAUGUAGAGCGUUGGACUCAAUAACCAAAGGUCGUGGGUUCGAAUCCCAGGUGUGCCA
rnacentral:tRNA from 1 species